CCACUGAAACUUGUCCACUCCUUACGGGGGAGACAGUCAUGAGACGUGAGUAUAAGACCUGAGUGUAAAGACCUUAGGGUGAAGCAAUUGGAGGGCAAGCUUUGGUGCCAGCAGCCGCGGUAACUCCAACUCCAAGAGUGUCUAUGGUGGAUGCUGCAGUUAAAGGGUCCGUAGUCGUGAAUGCAAUUAAAUGUCGUUGUUCAAUAGCGAUGAGUUUGCUAAUGUUUGCGGAACGGAUAGGGAGUGUAGUAUAGACUGGCGAAGAAUGAAAUCUCAAGACCCAGUUUGGACUAACGGAGGCGAAGGCGACACUCUUAGACGUAUCUUAGGAUCAAGGACGAAGGCAGGAGUAUCGAAAGUGAUUAGACACCGCUGUAGUUCCUGCAGUAAACUAUGCCGACAGCCUGUGUGUGAGAAUACGUGGGCGGGAGAAAUCUUAGUGUUCGGGCUCUGGGGAUAGUACGCUCGCAAGGGUGAAACUUAAAGCGAAAUUGACGGAAGGACACUACCAGGAGUGGAUUGUGCUGCUUAAUUUAACUCAACGCGGGAAAACUUACCAGGGUCAAGUCAUUCGUUGAUCGAAUACGUGAGAAUGGCAGGAGUGGGUGCAUGGA
rnacentral:rRNA from 1 species